GACAAUUUUUCCCAAGUGAUUGAGUGGAGCAGCAAAUGCCUGUGAAAAUAGUAGAUAUAAAAAUAUCAGCAAGAGCCAAAAUUACAAGACUGUUUCUGAAAAUAUUCCGAAAGAAUGUUUAGAAAACAUCUUUUUCCAGGUAGACAGAGAGUUUGUGAGGCUGCAUCAUUGGCAUCAUUUUAUCAUCACCAUCCCGCUCAGGAGCUCAAGAAGAGGGGAACUGAGUCAGUUAGAAUUACAGAGAAAAAAACAUAGUAUAUAUAAGGUUCUGGAGCUGAAAAAUACAAUGAACAAAGUGAAAAGUGAAACAGAGACUAUCAGCAGCAGAAUUAGUCAAGCAAAAGAAAGAAUCUGCAAAAUUGAAGAUGAGUUAUUUGAAAAUAUACAGUGAGAAGAGGAAAAAGAAAACCAUUUUUAAAAAUGAAGAAAGCUUACAGGAAUUAUGAGACAGCAUCAACAGACCAAAAGUUUGAGUCACUGGCAUUUUGGAAAUCUGCAGCUUCAGGU
rnacentral:lncRNA from 10 species